AUGAUACUUUCUUAUUCUGGUUGUGGUCAAUGCAAAUUAGCAUGGUCACAAAAGCGAUUAAAUGCUUCUUUUCUACCAGGCACCUAUGUGGUCUUUCUUGUCCUUAAUAUUGUUGAAGGACUUGGAGUAAUUUUGGUGUUCAAACCUUUCUUGGGUGAAAAGGAGGAAAAAUCAAUGGAACAUUUACAAUGA